UACGUAGGGUGCAAGCGUUGUCCGGAAUCAUUGGGCGUAAAGCGCGUGUAGGCGGCCCGGUAAGUCCGCUGUGAAAGUCCAGGGCUCAACCCUGGGAUGCCGGUGGAUACUGUCGGGCUCGAGUCCGGAAGAGGAGUGUGGAAUUCCUGGUGUAGCGGUGAAAUGCGCAGAUAUCAGGAGGAACACCAAUGGCGAAGGCAGCACUCUGGGACGUGACUGACGCUGAGACGCGAAAGCGUGGGGAGCAAACAGG
rnacentral:rRNA from 1 species